UCUGUGGCUCAGUCGGUAGAGCGACGCACUCGUAAUGCGUAGGUCAUCGGUUCGAAUCCGAUCA
rnacentral:tRNA from 1 species